CCUACGGGAGGCUGCAGUGGGGAAUAUUGCACAAUGGGGGAAACCCUGAUGCAGCGACGCCGCGUGAGCGAAGAAGUAUCUCGGUAUGUAAAGCUCUAUCAGCAGGGGAGAAAAUGACGGUACCUGACUAAGAAGCCGCGGCUAACUACGUGCCAGCAGCCGCGGUAAUACGUAGGGGGCACGCGUUAUCCGGAUUUACUGGGUGUAAAGGGAGUGCAGGCGGCGCGUUAAGUCUGAUGUGAAAGCCCGGGGCUCAACCCCGGGACUGCAUUUGAAACUGUCGUGCUAGAGUGUCGGAGGGGCAAGUGGAAUUCCUAGUGUAGCGGUGAAAUGCGUAGAUAUUAGGAGGAACUCCAGUGGCGAAGGCGGCUUGCUGGACGACAACUGACGCUGAGGCUCGAAAGCGUGGGGAGCGAACAGGAUUAGAUACCCUUGUAGUC
rnacentral:rRNA from 1 species